rnacentral:lncRNA from 1 species
GGCGGGGAGAUCCCAGCUACUAGAGGACGCCCGUUCCAAUGGCAACUCUGCCAAGGCGCCUAUGAGAGCCUCUUGGCUUUUACCUGGUCUGCGAGAAAUCAAACUUUGGGCACAAGUCAUGAAGCCGACAAGCCCGGGAGACACAGUGUCAGAAUUACAAGGUGAGAUCAGCCGCCCGGCCAAGCUAUCUUCUCGCUAGCAGGUCUCGCAUCUGGGGCUCGAUCUCGUGCAGAGGAGCAUUUCCGAAGACACUGGCCGCUCCCACAAUGGCUCCGAAGAACCCAGCGACCAGCGGGUUCAUGAGUUUGUUGGGGCUGUCCACUCGGUACCAGCUGCGCAGGGAUGUCAGGACAAAGAAACAAGUUGCCUGGUUCCAGCCCUGCUUCAGCACGGGGCCUGUGGGGCCCCGGACCACCACGGCCUCGGCCACGCUAGCUCACUGGCCGCACCGCUGCCCGCCUUGCUGUUCACCAGUCCCUGGGCAUCCCGCAUCUGGUUGCUGAGGAACGCCUGACGCCGCCUUGUGGAUGAAGCCGCAGAGCAGGGAGCUGAGGCUGCGGCCCAGGCCCAGGCUGCCUUGGCUGCGACUGUGUGCCUGCAGGCCCCAUGCCCGGUAUCCGGUGGAUGCGAGUGCUAGUCCAGCUGCAGCUGCAUCUUCACGAACUCGGUGGGGAACGGGAUGCAGAUUUUUUUUUUCUUUUCCUUCCUUCCUUCCUUCCUUCCAACUUCCUUCCUUCCUUCCCCUUUCUUUCUUUCUUUUUUUUUUUUUUUUUUUUUUGACAGAAUUUUGCUCUUGUCCCCCAGGCUGGAGUGCAGUGGCGCGAUCUUGGCUCACUACAACCUGGAUUCAAGCGAUUCUCCUGCCUCAGCCUCCCGAGUAGCUGGGAUUACAGGCAUGUGCCACCAUUCCCGGCUAAUUUUUUUGUCUUUUUAGUAGAGACGGUGUUUCCCCAUGUUGGUCAGGCUGGUCUCAAACGCCUGACUCAGAUGAUCCGCCCGCCUCGGCCACCCAAAGUGCUGAGAUUACAGGCUUGAACCACCGCGCCUGGCCCUGUGAUGUAGAUUUUGAUGCUGCCAGCCAGGCUGCCUGCCGGGAUCGCCUGCCCUGGAGCAGGAGCAUCAGCCGUGCGUUCCAGGACGCAGGCAUGGCAUGACCGGCAGGAGGCGGAGUGCCCGGCGUCUCUUGGGAUCGGAGCCUCCUGAAUUCCACGCUGGGACCUUAAUUUGGUUUUAACACAAAUAAAGAUCUCACAUAAAGAUAAAA